GUCUCCGUAGCGCAACUGGAUAGAGCGUCGGCUUCCGAAGCCGAAGGUUGGAGGUUCGAAUCCUCCCGGGGACA
rnacentral:tRNA from 2 species